rnacentral:lncRNA from 1 species
CAAUAUUUGUCUGUGUGUGUGUGUGUGUGUGUGUGUGUGCACAUGUAUGUGUGUUCUUGGUGUGCACACAAGCUCACAUGCAUGUGAAGGUCAGAGGUCAACCUCCAGGGUUGUUCCUCAGGACCCAUCGCUGUUUUUGAGGGAGAAUCUCUCACUGGUCUGGGACUCCACAGUUAGGCUAGGCUGUUUCCUCUGCUGCCCUGGGAUUACAAGCACACCACCCCACCUGACUUUUUAGGUAUGUGUUGGAUCAAACUCAGAGCUUCAUGCUUUUGUAGCAACAUUUUACUAAUUACCUCCCCACCCCCUGAUGUUGGUGUAUUUUAAAAAUGUUCCUCUGGUAUAUGAACCCAGGAAGAAAAUAACUUUCUUUGGGAACAGAGAAUGUCCCCAGGGCAUUGUCUCAGGGCAAGAACAAUGGAGGAAUAGGACUCUCAGACAUACAACACAUGAGUGUUUACCUGUUGAACCUCACGAAUCUUGCUGCCCGCUGCACUCCCCUUCCUUGACCCAAUCUGAAGAGUUACAAAGAAAGAGUGUGUGCCUGCUUGCAAACGGGGCUUCCAGCUCUGGGGCCUCGCUCCCGGCUGCUCAUCACCCGUCUCACCCAGAGACAGGCUCGGUGCUGGUGACUCAGAAGCUUCGAGAUGGAAGGCAGACUCUAGGGAGCAUCGGGAACUGAGUAGUUGGUGGGUGUGAGCUUGGG